AGAACGAACGCUGGCGGCAUGCCUAAUACAUGCAAGUCGAACGAACACUUCGGUGUUAGUGGCGCACGGGUGCGUAACGCGUGGGAAUCUGCCCUUGGGUUCGGAAUAACAGUUGGAAACGACUGCUAAUACCGGAUGAUGACGAAAGUCCAAAGAUUUAUCGCCCAGGGAUGAGCCCGCGUAGGAUUAGCUAGUUGGUGAGGUAAUGGCUCACCAAGGCGAC
rnacentral:rRNA from 1 species